AUUGAACGCUGGCGGCAUGCUUUACACAUGCAGGUCGAACGGUAACAGGCCGCAAGGUGCUGACGAGUGGCGAACGGGUGAGUAAUGCAUCGGAACGUGCCCAGUCGUGGGGGAUAACGCAGCGAAAGCUGUGCUAAUACCGCAUACGAUCUGUGGAUGAAAGCGGGGGACCUUCGGGCCUCACGCGAUUGGAGCGGCCGAUGUCAGAUUAGGUAGUUGGUGGGGUAAAGGCUAAAAAAGCCGACGAUCUGUAGCUGGUCUGAGAGGACGACCAGCCACACUGGGACUGAGACACGGCCCAGACUCCUACGGGAGGCAGCAGUGGGGAAUUUUGGACAAUGGGCGCAAGCCUGAUCCAGCAAUGCCGCGUGCAGGAAGAAGGCCUUCGGGUUGUAAACUGCUUUUGUACGGAGCGAAAAGGCUCCCUCUAAUACAGGGGGCUCAUGACGGUACCGUAAGAAUAAGCACCGGCUAACUACGUGCCAGCAGCCGCCGUAAAAC
rnacentral:rRNA from 1 species